GGAGGGGCGCCGGGAGGGGGCGGCGGGGGAGGAGGGGGCGGUCACUCCGUCAGUCACCGGCGCUUCCUAGGCGCGCGGCCGGGCGGCACCCGCAACGUGUGGAGACCGGAGAGUGAUGACUGUCCUGUCGCUGCAGCGGGACGACCUUCCCCGCUCGAGCCGCCCGCACCCCCACACACACACCGAGGUGGGAGGCGAAGCCUGGUCAGCGGACCGAAGAGCGGCCCCGCGCGGCUCGGCGCCCACUCCCUUAGCGGACCUGUCUCCCGUCCCGGACAGUGACGCACUCGCGCGACAGCCCCGAGUGCCUCACCCUUAGGGACCGGAGCCCACUGUCCCCGCGGGCGAGCUGGCCCGGUUGGCCGGAGGACACCGGGGAUACCCGCUGCAGCGCUCAAACGCUGUCCGCGGGCCGGUGCAAACAGGCCUCGCACCGUCCGCGCUUCAAGUCCUCUCGUUUCGCUCUUAGGACCAAGCCUUCAGCAUGUGAACCUUCGGAAGCAUUGACUAUCCCCGCCACAACAGAUGCCAGUCCCGCUUAGGAAGCUCAGAACAGGUAAAAUGCUGUAAUGCUGCUGCUCUCCUGAGAGAACCACUCGUACCAACACUGGAGGCUUCUGCAUAGUCAACACGUCAGGAAUAACGAGAAGUGGAGAAGGAUGCCAGCGUGAGAGAGACCUAACUAGAGAGUUGACGAAAAGCCUGUGAUGUGGCUCGGCAGAGAUGCCAGUUUCUCUGCUGGACAACUUAGAGUGUCCUUAUCAGAAGAUUGCAAGGAGCUGGGCCUGGAGGAACAAGGGGUUGGUAUCACUCACGAUAAGAAACAACAGUCUGCCCGUGCCCUCCCCAAAACUCCCCCCCACACCUUUAUGAGUGCUUGGAUGUCUGCCACUCUGAAGGCAUCCACAGCCAGCCAGAGGGGAUGGCAAACGGAGCCUAGCCAAGAAAAGAGACUUGGUGCUUCCCCUUCAUCUGCUCUUGUCCCCAGCGCUGGCAGAGAAAUGAAAGAGAAAGAGAAUGGAUGUAGAAAGAUUGAACAAGCUCUUCUCCAGUACACCGGAUAGUGAUGGGCAGAGAAAAACCUUUGGUUCCAAUGAUCUUACAGUUUCCUUGCUGAAAACACACGGAAAGUAAAAGACUCACUCUCAGAUGUUAAUGAACAGGCAGGGGAGGCUCCUGCGGCCAAUGGCUAAACUGUUGAAAUUAUUCUUUCAGUUGCGCUUGAGGCACAUGUGUUUAGAAUAAGAAUACAGGAGUAGACUGGAUGAGAUCUACCAACUGCAAAUCAGGUUCAUGAGAACAGCUUGGGUAGUUUCAUCAGCACACACAGAAAGCUGGACUGACAAGGAGUCACACAAGAAAAGAACACCUCCGUUAAAAUUGUGUGGAUAAGAUCCUGAACACUUACCACCGUGAAAACCCGGCAGCAGCAGGGUCCAGUUGGAUGUGUGUUCCUGUCUCCUUGGGUGACCCAGAAAUGCCGAGUUCUUUAGAAAUCUUCCUUUCAGUAAUGGUGAGACCGCUGGGUACAGCAUCUCUCACACCCAUUGCUUCCCACCUCUUCAGUCCUGACUGUUGUGACUUGGUGGGUUCUAGACCAUUUGAGGACUGCUGGACUUGUGCUUUAUAUUUCCCCCCUUUGGAAUUUGGAGUCCUCCGGGUUUGCGCUGUGUGCCUUGAACUCUAGCAGCUGUGUCCUUUCCAUCUUCUUGCUAUGCAGUUUCUGAUGCAGAGAUUUCAUUCUCACAUGUGUUUCUGCUCAUAUCCUGUGUGCUUGCCGCUUAGCCUGUGAUCUCUCUGGCCCAUUGGAAACUUGAAUUAUACCUGUCUCUGGAAGGUGCUCGAAUGGCUGACUACUGGCCUGCCAAGAUUCUGGACUCUUUUGUACAUUUUUAGCUUUCCCAGUUCCAAAUUCUAGACGCUUUUUCAUGCCAUCUGCCAUUAAUCGCAGUGUGUUUUUACUCCUAAAAGCCAUGGGUCAUUAUGCAGAAAUCCAAGUGCCAAGUUUUAGAGAGCUCCUUUUGAGUUGCUAGUUAGAAACAGUACAAACUCUUGCAACCCUGCUUAGUUUUCCAUCAGAAAUAAUUGAUAAGACUGUAUGACUUUGUUGCAAAAUACAGUGAAACCAAGCUGGAAGUGGACUACUAGUUUCCUUCUUGUUGGUUGGUUUCCAUAGUGCUACAUGGUGCUUAGCAAACUGCUAGAGGAGAAAAGAUGACCCCUAUCUUACCCAGUGUGAGCCCUAUGAACUAUAACAACCUACCAGAGAAAAGGAACUCACUGGUAUGGCUGCUUUGGGGGUAACCAGCCACUCUCUGCUUGGAUUUGAUACUCUCUUUGCAUAAAGGAAUUCAUGCCUGACACUGCAGAUUCACUAUUGAAGUGGUCACUGGGGUAUUGCUGUGACAGACCUGACUAUUUUGUUUGGGGGAGAAUUAUGGAAGGACUUUGGAAUUUUGGAUUAGAAACUUCAUUGAGUGUUGAGAACUUAGUGGGCUGUUUUGUAGAAGCUUAGAAGAUGGGAGUGUUGAGGGCAAUACAGAAGAUGGAGGCCUGGCUUCUGAAGAUUCAGAGGGAAGUUUAAAGACUCUAUCAGAGUCUUUUGUUACUUUGAAUUAAUAUUCUGUGGCUCUGCUUAGUUGGGGCUGAAGAAUCAAUCAGCUGUGAGCUACAAGAUACUACAACUACUAACGUGAAAUCUUUGCUUUGCUGAGAUACUCGAAGCUGGUUGGCUAGAGCUGAGAAAUUAAUAGUGAUUAAAAAGAGACCAGUGUCGUUGAGGUGAAAUCUUCUGGGAAGUCUUUCCUGAGAGCAUGUAGGAACUGUGUUCCACAGACAGCCAAGAUUAUACUUCAAGCUGGCAGCUGAACUUGGUAGUGUAAGAGUGACUCAGGUGGUACUAGUUUUGAAGGUCAUGGAGAACACAGCUCAGGCUUGGCACUGUGAGGGGCCAAGAGAGGACCACUGUUGAAGAUGCAGCCUCAGUGGCCAUUGAAGGCAUAGGAUUGAAGGGAUCAUAGAGAAAUUGAGGCUUGGCACCAUGAAAAGAACCCAUGAGAGGCUAGUGGUGAAAGUGUUGCCCAGUUUCAGCAGAGGUCCCCAGCAUGUAGGACAUGCUAGUUCCAUAGGAUGACCACCAAGAACAGUAACAGUGGUGGAGUGGCGCCAGCCAGGGCCUAGAAGACAGGCUGUGUGCACUGCAGAGGCUGGAGCUGAAGAAGCGAGCCAAGCCUCUUGAAGGAACCCAGGAGAUGGUGAGUAAAUUUCAGGUGUUAGACACUGAGUUAUUUACACUUUUGGAGUUUGGUUUUGUUUUGCUUUGAUCGUGACUCUGCCCUGGUUCUUCCCUCUUGAAGUAAGAAAGUAUUUCAUGUAUUUUUUGAUUUUAUAGGACCCCACAGUUGAGAGACUUUGAAUUUUAAAAGAGUUUGGAUUUAAAAAAAGAUUGGCUAUUUUAAAGAGACUGAACUUUUAGUGUGUUUGAAUUUGUAAAGACUGUGAGACUUUAAAAGUUAUUUAUAUAUUUAAUGUAGACUCUUGGGAAUGAAUGAGAAAGAAGAGACUGUGGCUUAAUGGUGAUGAUGUGCUCGGUGUCAAGUUGAUGGGGGUCCGUUGUACUGAAUAGUUUUAUGUCAACUUGACACAAGCUAAAGUCAUCUGGGAGGAGGGAACCUCAAUGAAGAAAAUGCCUCCAUAAGAAGGGGCUGUAGGCAGGGCUCUAAGGCAUUUUCUUAAUUAGUGAUUGAUGGAAGAGGGUCAGCCUUUUGUGGGUGGUGCCAUUUCUGGGAUGGUGGUCCUGGGCUCUAGAAGAAAGCAGGCUAAGUAAGCUAUGAGGGGCAAGCCAGUAAGCAGUAAGCUCUUCCACAGCUUCUGCAUUGGCUCCUGCCUCCAGAUUCCUGCAGUUCCUAUCCUGACUACCUUCGAUGAUGGAUUGUAAUGUGGAAGUGUAAGCCAAAUAAACCUUUUCCUCCCCAA